ACGUAAUGCAUCAGCGGAUAUAGAUUGGACUGCCAUGUUCGAGGCCACAUCGCCGCCGCGUCCUAUGAAGAAACGCAGUGCAUCAAAGGAUAUAGAUUGGACUGCCAUGUUCAAGGCCAGAAUCGCAGAGCCACCAAAGGCCAAUCUCUUGCCGGAGGCACCUGACCCUGUCCCCCUAAGUUCUGCAAGGUCUGCCAAUUUCGUUUCGGCCUCUCCGCGGGCGCAUCUAAUGAGGAAACCUGGUGCACGAAAAGACAUAGACUGGAGUACCAUGUUCAACGCUUGAAUCGCAGAAGCGUUAGAGGCUGAUCUCUCUCCACCGACGCACCCACUGUCAUUCCUAGGUUGAGUACAAGUGUGAAGCUACGGGCCUAGAGGGAAAUACAAGUUGUCGGGAUAAAGAUGGGAGUGUAUUGUGGUAUUUGUUUGCUGUGAAAAUUGAAAUUUUCAGCAAUUGAUGUUCUCUGUUUUGACUUUUGAGGAUACUCUGCAAAGCAUAAAGGCACUCUGGCAUAACAUCGAAAUAUACACAUAUCUGGCUAAAUAAAAAGUUUUAUUUGUAUAAACAUCAAUCUUCUGGUUGUUUUAGUGUAGUAGCUUAUUGUUAUUGAAACGUAAUAUGUUGAUAUAUUAUUCUGGAAAUUAAAAUUACCGUCCUAUUAAAUGAAUGUCUUUGUUUGAUUUAUAAUGUUUAAUAUUAGUAACAACAGAGUUGCCUACCACAUUUCUAGUUGUUUACUAAUUGUGUUUAUGAUCUUCGAUUUCUUGUUUCUUUUAUAUUAUUAUCCAAUCUUCUCCUUGACAACAAGGUAAUAUCGCAGGGUGGUCCUCUAAGGAGAGAAAUGACACCGACUCAUCCAAUGAAGAAAUGAGUAGCAUGUGUAGACAUAGACUAGCAUGCUUCUCACCCCUAG